rnacentral:rRNA from 1 species
CCUACGGGAGGCAGCAGUGGGGAAUCUUAGACAAUGGGCGCAAGCCUGAUCUAGCCAUGCCGCGUGAGUGAAGAAGGCCUUAGGGUCGUAAAGCUCUUUCGCCUGUGAUGAUAAUGACAGUAGCAGGUAAAGAAACCCCGGCUAACUCCGUGCCAGCAGCCGCGGUAAUACGGAGGGGGUUAGCGUUGUUCGGAAUUACUGGGCGUAAAGCGCGCGUAGGCGGAUUGGAAAGUUGGGGGUGAAAUCCCAGGGCUCAACCCUGGAACUGCCUCCAAAACUCCCAGUCUAGAGUUCGAGAGAGGUGAGUGGAAUUCCAAGUGUAGAGGUGAAAUUCGUAGAUAUUUGGAGGAACACCAGUGGCGAAGGCGGCUCACUGGCUCGAUACUGACGCUGAGGUGCGAAAGUGUGGGGAGCAAACAGGAUUAGAUACCCUGGUAGUCCACACCGUAAACGAUGAAUGCCAGUCGUCGGGCAGUAUACUGUUCGGUGACACACCUAACGGAUUAAGCAUUCCGCCUGGGGAGUA